GACGAACGCUGGCGGCGUGCCUAAUACAUGCAAGUCGAGCGGAUGAAGGAGGAGCUUGCUCCUCCUGAUUCAGCGGCGGACGGGUGAGUAACACGUGGGCAACCUGCCCUGUAGAUUGGGAUAACUCCGGGAAACCGGGGCUAAUACCGAAUAACCCACCGGACCUCGUGGUCUGGUGUUGAAAGACGGCAUCUCGCUGUCACUACAGGAUGGGCCCGCGGCGCAUUAGCUAGUUGGUGAGGUAACGGCUCACCAAAGCCACGAUGCGUAGCCGACCUGAGAGGGUGAUCGGCCACACUGGGACUGAGACACGGCCCAGACUCCUACGGGAGGCAGCAGUAGGGAAUCUUCCACAAUGGACGAAAGUCUGAUGGAGCAACGCCGCGUGAGUGAAGAAGGUUCUCGGAUCGUAAAACUCUGUUGUGAGGGAAGAACAAGUACCGGAGUAACUGCCGGUACCUUGACGGUACCUCAUUAGAAAGCCACGGCUAACUACGUGCCAGCCGCCGCGGUAAAAC
rnacentral:rRNA from 1 species